rnacentral:tmRNA from 1 species
GGGGGCGACAUGGCUUCGACGUGGAUAGCAAAACCUUGAGUGCAUGCCGAGGACAGUACACCUCGUAAAAUCUACUGAACUUAAAGUAUUCGCAAAUGACGAAAACUACUCAAUGGCUUUAGCUGCGUAAAACCAGCACCAUUCCUCUGACUGUGUGUGCUUAUGCGGGCAGAGUUCUUCGGAACACUCAGAGGUCAUCUCACAUAAGAUCGCGCCAAGGCUUCGUUCGUAGCUGGAAGCGUUAAAUUUAAUCGAAAUCGCUGAUAGUUUUCUUGGCCUGUCGGGUAGC